rnacentral:rRNA from 1 species
GACGAACCGAGCGAACGUUGUUCGGAAUCACUGGGCUUAAAGGGCGCGUAGGCGGGCCGGACGGUCCGGGGUGAAAUCCCCCCGCUCAACGGGGGAACGGCCCCGGACACCGCCGGCCUCGAGGAAGGUAGGGGCGAGCGGAACGCUGGGUGGAACGGUGAAAUGCGUUGAUAUCCAGCGGAACUCCGGUGGCGAAGGCGGCUCGCUGGACCUUUUCUGACGCUGAGGCGCGAAAGCCAGGGGAGCGAACGGG